UACAGAGGUCCCAAGCGUUGUUCGGAUUUACUGGGCGUAAAGGGCGCGUAGGCGGCGUGACAAGUCACUUGUGAAAUCUCCGGGCUUAACUCGGAACGGUCAAGUGAUACUGUCGUGCUAGAGUGCGGAAGGGGCAACUGGAAUUCUUGGUGUAGCGGUGAAAUGCGUAGAUAUCAAGAGGAACACCUGCGGCGAAGGCGGGUUGCUGGGCCGACACUGACGCUGAGGCGCGAAAGCUAGGGGAGCGAACGGG
rnacentral:rRNA from 1 species